rnacentral:rRNA from 1 species
ACUUACGGCCAUACCACCUUAGGCACGCCCGAUCUCGUCUGAUCUCGGAAGCUAAGCAGGGUCGGGCCUGGUUAGUACUUGGAUGGGUGACCGCCUGGGAAUACCAGGUGCUGUAAGCA